rnacentral:lncRNA from 1 species
UGUCUUUGACAUUUUUCUUAUCUAUAUUUAAAAAAAAAACUCAAUUCAUCCACCUAACAAAAAACUACUUGUACCCCAAAGCUAUUGAAAUAAAAUUUUCUUAAAAAAUCUCAAAAAAGACAUUAACGAUAGCAGAAAGGGACUCUUGAAUCACCAACAGAAGGAAAACUUACAUUUUCAAAGGAGGCUACAAGUAAAACUGAUAUAGUCAUCUUUUUCCAAAACAUAGUAGAGAAUAAAUUGCAAAUAAUUAAAUUGGGUUUCUAGGCUGAAUGAUAACUUUUGAGAGCUGACAUCUGAUCACUGAGCUCACCUAUUCAAAUAAACGUAGUAUUAGUUGGUCUGUUUUUCUUUCAUUAUAUUUAAAGCUAGGAAAAUCUAGAUGGAAUAACCAGUCUCUCUCACUGACAACUUUGUAUUUUUCUGCUGCAAAGGAGCUCAAUUUUCUUUACUCAUUUUUUCUGUGUUUAAACAAACUCUAAAUAAGCUUUAUAUUUUGAAACAUUUAUGUACACACAGCCUUAUACACCUAACCCAAAAGAAGAUAAAGUUAAAUUUUAGUAACCUGAAGUUCUUCACUGAAGCCAACAUGGAAUGCCUCCUUCUUCUCCCACAGCAAUGUCACGAGGAGAAUGACAGCCUCCACACAAUCUGUCCCGAAAGUCUUCUCAUCUCUCCACUUCAUGAGCCUUACUCCUGAUGCAGGCACAUCACCAAAGACAAGAGAUGCAGACUUCCAGGAGUGAAAUAACAGAAAACAACCAGUGACUCACCGUGACACUGGAAAUGGCUGUGAAGAACGCAGAAUGCUGAGAGCCAACUGUCCAAUGGAUGAACAUGAGAAAGAACUAAGACAACCCCUCGAUUUCCUAAAUAUGCCAAAGGAAAGCCUCCCUUGGGGAAUGGCUGAUGCUUGGAAUAUAGAUGGCAUGUAUAAUUACUUAGUUUACAAACUGGGGUCAGUUUGACAUUAUAUGAUAAGCUGUAAGGAGAAGAAAUCUUCUUACCUCUCUACGUUCCUAAUUUGGCUGUAAAUGUGGUGUGCUGCAGGCAAGUCACAUUGGCACAUGAGAGCAGACUGUUAAAUUCUCAGAAAUUUUGUAAACCAGUUGUUAAACACAGGCAUCAUUAAGAAUUAAAGUAUAUAAACUUUCAAAUAAAUAAAUUUUAUCAAAAACAAAAAUAUAUUUUUUCAAAACUCAACACUUCCUAAUUAUUAUCAUUUUACUAUCAUCUAUGCUCUUGAAGUUAUAUUUUUAUCUAUUCUAUGGGCAUAAUGGAAACAAUAUGUCCAGCUCACUUUCCAACUUUUCCCUUAGUUGCAUCACACUGGUAGCUUGAGAUCAGCUAAGGUAGAGGUAUUCAUAUCACAAAAAUUGGCAAACACUACAAAUCAGGAUUUCAUUUGUCUUGUUGACUGUCUACACCACUAGUUCUCAACCAAGGUGACGUUUGCCCCUCCAAUGCCUAACAUUUGGCAAUGUCUCGAUAAAUUUUUGGUUCUUCCAACGGGGGAUUACUACUAGUAUCUAGUGGGUAGAGACCAUGGAUGCUGCUAAAUACCCUAUAAUUCACAGGACAACUGUAUUAAUCUGUCCUCACAUUGCUAAUAAAGACAUACCAGAGACUGGGUUACUUACAAAGGAAAGAGGCUUAAUUGAUUCACCGUUUCACAUGGCUGGGAGAACUCAC